rnacentral:rRNA from 1 species
UACGAAGGGGGCUAGCGUUGCUCGGAAUUACUGGGCGUAAAGGGAGCGUAGGCGGACAUUUAAGUCAGAGGUGAAAUCCCGGAGCUUAACUUCGGAACUGCCUUUGAUACUGGGUGUCUUGAGUGUGAGAGAGGUAUGUGGAACUCCGAGUGUAGAGGUGAAAUUCGUAGAUAUUCGGAAGAACACCAGUGGCGAAGGCGACAUACUGGCUCAUUACUGACGCUGAGGCACGAAAGCGUGGGGAGCAAACAGG